GAUGAAGAACGUAGCGAAAUGCGAUAAGUAAUGUGAAUUGCAGAAUUCAGUGAAUCAUCGAAUCUUUGAACGCACAUUGCGCCCGCCAGUAUUCUGGCGGGCAUGCCUGUUCGAGCGUCAUUACAACCCUCAGGCCCCCGGGCCUGGCGUUGGGGAUCGGCGGAAGCCCCCUGCGGGCACAACGCCGUCCCCCAAAUACAGUGGCGGUCCCGCCGCAGCUUCCAUUGCGUAGUAGCUAACACCUCGCAACUGGAGAGCGGCGCGGCCACGCCGCAAAACACCCAACUUCUGAAUGUUGACCUCGAAUCAGGUAGGAAUACCCGCUGAACUUAAGCAUAUCAAUAAGCGGAGGA
rnacentral:misc_RNA from 1 species